UCUCCUGUCAAGAUCCCAUUGGCUUGAUGAGCUGUCUGGGCACCCUCACAGAAAACCUCACAAGGAAAACAAGGUCCCAGAUUUGGUCACCAGAAGAACAAGGUUGAGACUGACUCAGUGAAUGCCUUUCUUUGACUGCAAAACAGGACUGUAAUGCAGCUGGCUCUCCUGAAAUGUUGGCUUCUAGUUCCGAGGGUAUAGGAGGCCUAGGCAGCUGUACACUUGUGUCAUCCUGAUCAUCAUGAAGUCUGGUGGAAUUUAUAUGGACAGGACAGUAUGCAUUCCUUCAACCAAUACUUACUGAGCACCUAUUAUGUGCCAGGCACUGUGCUGGGCACUGGGAAUGAAAAAAUGAGUAGGGCAUGGUCCUUGCCUUCAAGGAGCUUAGAGUCUAAUGAGAGAAGCUAGCAGCAAACCAUCACUGCAAUCCAGUGGGACAAAGCCAUGAUAGUCACAUGUACAGAAUGCCAUGGCAGCAAAAAGGAAGAGUACUGAGGUGAUUUGCUCUGGAAGAGGCAGAGCCAGGUCAGGCCUCUGCUUAGAAAGUGGCUGGAAAUGGAGACACUUAAUCAUGUACUAGGUCUUUAUUUAUCCAUCAUUCAUUCAGCCAACAUAUCUUCUGAGAUUUUUUGGAGUAUUUAUAUAUUUAUUUAUUUAUUUUUGAGAUGGAGUCUCACUCUGUCGCCCAGGCUAGAGUGCAGUGGCAUGAUCUCAUCUCACUGCAACCUCCGCCUUCCGAGUUCAAGUGAUUCUCCUGCCUCAGCCUCGUGAGUAGCUAGGAUUACAGGCGCCUGCCACCACACCCUGCUAAUUUUUGCCUUUCAGUAGAGACGGGGUAUCACUAUAUUGGCCAGGCUAGUCUUAAACUCCUGACAUCAAGUGAUCCAUCCACCCGCCUCGGGCUCCCAAAGUGCUGAGAUUACAAGCAUGAGCCA
rnacentral:lncRNA from 1 species